rnacentral:misc_RNA from 1 species
GAUGAAGAACGUAGCGAAAUGCGAUACUUGGUGUGAAUUGCAGAAUCCCGUGAACCAUCGAGUCUUUGAACGCAAGUUGCGCCCGAAGCCACUAGGCCGAGGGCACGCCUGCCUGGGCGUCACACGCCGUUGCCCCCCCAUCUACUCCUUCGGGAUUGCGGGGGGGCGGAUGAUGGCCUCCUGUGCGCCUAGCCGCGCGGUUGGCAUAAAUACCAAGUCCUCGGCGACGAACGCCACGACAAUCGGUGGUUGCGAAACCUCGGUUGCCCGUCGUGUGCGUUCGUCGCGCAUCGAGGGCUCGAAAAAAUGCUCGGCUCCGGCUGGGCUUUCAACGCGACCCCAGGUCAGGCGGGGUUACCCGCUGAAUUUAAGCAUAUCAAUAAGCGGAGGA